rnacentral:rRNA from 1 species
GGUUAAGCGACUAAGCGUACACGGUGGAUGCCCUGGCAGUCAGAGGCGAUGAAGGACGUGCUAAUCUGCGAAAAGCGUCGGUAAGGUGAUAUGAACCGUUACAGCCGGCGAUGUCCGAAUGGGGAAACCCAGUGCAAUUCGUUGCACUAUCGUUAACUGAAUACAUAGGUUAACGAGGCGAACCGGGGGAACUGAAACAUCUAAGUACCCCGAGGAAAAGAAAUCAACCGAGAUUCCCCCAGUAGCGGCGAGCGAACGGGGAGCAGCCCAGAGUCUGAAUCAGCUUGUGUGUUAGUGGAACGGUCUGGAAAGUCCGACGGUACAGGGUGAUAGUCCCGUACACCAAAAUGCACAGGCUGUGAACUCGAAGAGUAGGGCGGGACACGUGGUAUCCUGUCUGAAUAUGGGGGGACCAUCCUCCAAGGCUAAAUACUCCUGACUGACCGAUAGUGAACCAGUACCGUGAGGGAAAGGCGAAAAGAACCCCGGCGAGGGGAGUGAAAAAGAACCUGAAACCGUGUACGUACAAGCAGUGGGAGCACCUUCGGGUGUGACUGCGUACCUUUUGUAUAAUGGGUCAGCGACUUAUAUUCUGUAGCAAGGUUAACCGUAUAGGGGAGCCGCAGGGAAACCGAGUCUUAACUGGGCGUUAAGUUGCAGGGUAUAGACCCGAAACCCGGUGAUCUAGCCAUGGGCAGGUUGAAGGUUGGGUAACACUAACUGGAGGACCGAACCGACUAAUGUUGAAAAAUUAGCGGAUGACUUGUGGCUGGGGGUGAAAGGCCAAUCAAACCGGGAGAUAGCUGGUUCUCCCCGAAAGCUAUUUAGGUAGCGCCUCGUGAACUCAUCUUCGGGGGUAGAGCACUGUUUCGGCUAGGGGGUCAUCCCGACUUACCAACCCGAUGCAAACUACGAAUACCGAAGAAUGUUAUCACGGGAGACACACGGCGGGUGCUAACGUCCGUCGUGAAGAGGGAAACAACCCAGACCGCCAGCUAAGGUCCCAAAGUCAUGGUUAAGUGGGAAACGAUGUGGGAAGGCACAGACAGCCAGGAUGUUGGCUUAGAAGCAGCCAUCAUUUAAAGAAAGCGUAAUAGCUCACUGGUCGAGUCGGCCUGCGCGGAAGAUGUAACGGGGCUAAACCAUGCACCGAAGCUGCGGCAGCGACACUAUGUGUUGUUGGGUAGGGGAGCGUUCUGUAAGCCUGCGAAGGUGUGCUGUGAGGCAUGCUGGAGGUAUCAGAAGUGCGAAUGCUGACAUAAGUAACGAUAAAGCGGGUGAAAAGCCCGCUCGCCGGAAGACCAAGGGUUCCUGUCCAACGUUAAUCGGGGCAGGGUGAGUCGACCCCUAAGGCGAGGCCGAAAGGCGUAGUCGAUGGGAAACAGGUUAAUAUUCCUGUACUUGGUGUUACUGCGAAGGGGGGACGGAGAAGGCUAUGUUAGCCGGGCGACGGUUGUCCCGGUUUAAGCAUGUAGGCUGGUUGUCCAGGCAAAUCCGGAUAAUCAAGGCUGAGGUGUGAUGACGAGGCACUACGGUGCUGAAGUAACAAAUGCCCUGCUUCCAGGAAAAGCCUCUAAGCAUCAGGUAACAUCAAAUCGUACCCCAAACCGACACAGGUGGUCAGGUAGAGAAUACCAAGGCGCUUGAGAGAACUCGGGUGAAGGAACUAGGCAAAAUGGUGCCGUAACUUCGGGAGAAGGCACGCUGGUGUGUAGGUGAAGCCCCUGCGGGUGGAGCUGAGACCAGUCGAAGAUACCAGCUGGCUGCAACUGUUUAUUAAAAACACAGCACUGUGCAAACACGAAAGUGGACGUAUACGGUGUGACGCCUGCCCGGUGCCGGAAGGUUAAUUGAUGGGGUUAUCCGUAAGGAGAAGCUCUUGAUCGAAGCCCCGGUAAACGGCGGCCGUAACUAUAACGGUCCUAAGGUAGCGAAAUUCCUUGUCGGGUAAGUUCCGACCUGCACGAAUGGCGUAAUGAUGGCCAGGCUGUCUCCACCCGAGACUCAGUGAAAUUGAACUCGCUGUGAAGAUGCAGUGUACCCGCGGCAAGACGGAAAGACCCCGUGAACCUUUACUAUAGCUUGACACUGAACAUUGAGCCUUGAUGUGUAGGAUAGGUGGGAGGCUUUGAAGCGUGGACGCCAGUCUGCGUGGAGCCAACCUUGAAAUACCACCCUUUAAUGUUUGAUGUUCUAACGUUGGCCCCUUACCGGGGUUGCGGACAGUGUCUGGUGGGUAGUUUGACUGGGGCGGUCUCCUCCCAAAGCGUAACGGAGGAGCACGAAGGUUAGCUAAUCCUGGUCGGACAUCAGGAGGUUAGUGCAAUGGCAUAAGCUAGCUUGACUGCGAGCGUGACGGCGCGAGCAGGUGCGAAAGCAGGUCAUAGUGAUCCGGUGGUUCUGAAUGGAAGGGCCAUCGCUCAACGGAUAAAAGGUACUCCGGGGAUAACAGGCUGAUACCGCCCAAGAGUUCAUAUCGACGGCGGUGUUUGGCACCUCGAUGUCGGCUCAUCACAUCCUGGGGCUGAAGUAGGUCCCAAGGGUAUGGCUGUUCGCCAUUUAAAGUGGUACGCGAGCUGGGUUUAGAACGUCGUGAGACAGUUCGGUCCCUAUCUGCCGUGGGCGCUGGAGAAUUGAGGGGGGCUGCUCCUAGUACGAGAGGACCGGAGUGGACGCAUCACUGGUGUUCGGGUUGUCAUGCCAAUGGCACUGCCCGGUAGCUAAAUGCGGAAGAGAUAAGUGCUGAAAGCAUCUAAGCACGAAACUUGCCCCGAGAUGAGUUCUCCCUGAGACUUUAAGUCUCCUGAAGGAACGUUGAAGACGACGACGUUGAUAGGCCGGGUGUGUAAGCGCAGCGAUGCGUUGAGCUAACCGGUACUAAUGAACCGUGAGGCUUAACCUU